UACAGAGGUCCCGAGCGUUGUUCGGAUUCACUGGGCGUAAAGGGUGCGUAGGUGGUGAGGUAAGACAGAUGUGAAAUCCCCGGGCUCAACCUGGGAACUGCAUUUGUGACUGCAUAGCUAGAGUACGGUAGAGGGGGAUGGAAUUCCGCGUGUAGCAGUGAAAUGCGUAGAUAUGCGGAGGAACACCGAUGGCGAAGGCAAUCCCCUGGACCUGUACUGACGCUCAUGCACGAAAGCGUGGGGAGCAAACAGG
rnacentral:rRNA from 1 species